rnacentral:snRNA from 1 species
AGCUGCGCGGUGAGCACAUAGCGAACUAUUCUUUCGCCUUUUACUAAAGAAUACCGUGUGCCCGCCGCUGAAAGCAGCAUACGCUAAUUUUUGGAGGGUCCUCUCUUCAGAGAGCU